rnacentral:tRNA from 3 species
CGCGGGGUGGACCAGUAGUAGGUUGACUGUCUCAUAAGCAGUAGACCCCGGUGCAAAUCCGGGCCCCGCAA